UACGAGGGGGGCGAGCGUUGUUCGGAAUUAUUGGGCGUAAAGGGUGCGUAGGCGGUUUGGUAAGUCUGAUGUGAAAUCUAUGGGCUCAACUCAUAGUCUGCAUCGGAAACUGCCGGGCUUGAGUGUGGGAGAGGUGAGUGGAAUUCCUGGUGUAGCGGUGAAAUGCGUAGAUAUCAGGAGGAACACCGGUGGUGUAGACGGCUCUCUGGACCGUAACUGACGCUGAGGCACGAAAGCGUGGGUAGCAAACAGG
rnacentral:rRNA from 1 species